rnacentral:misc_RNA from 1 species
GAAAUGCGAUAAGUAAUGUGAAUUGCAGAAUUCAGCGAAUCAUCAAAUCUUUGAACGCACAUUGCGCCUAUUAGUAUUCUAGUAGGCAUGCCUGUUCGAGCGUCAUUUCAACCCUCAAGCCCUGGUUGCUUGGUGUUGGGAGCUUGCUGUGAAACGCAACUCCUCAAAGCUAGCUGGCAGAGUCGGGAUGCACUCUAAGCGUAGUAAACUUGAUAGUCUCGCUUCUGCAGUUGUCCCGGCCGUCUUGCCAUAAAAGCCCAAACUUUUUUGUUUUCUAUGGUUGACCUCGGAUCAGGUAGGAAUACCCGCUGAACUUAAGC